UACGAAGGGGGCUAGCGUUGUUCGGAAUGACUGGGCGUAAAGGGCGCGUAGGCGGUUUGAUAAGUUUGAUGUGAAAGUCCUGGGCUUAACCUGGGGAUGGCAUUGGAUACUGUUGAGCUAGAGUCCGAAAGAGGAAAAUGGAAUUGCGAGUGUAGAGGUGAAAUUCGUAGAUAUUCGCAGGAACACCGGUGGCGAAGGCGGUUUUCUGGUUCGGUACUGACGCUAAGGCGCGAAAGCGUGGGGAGCAAACAGG
rnacentral:rRNA from 1 species